UUAAGUUGGGCACUUUGAAAGAACUGCCAGUGAUAAGCUGGAGGAAGGUGGGGAUGACGUCAAGUCCUCAUGGCCCUUACGUGUUGGGAUACACACGUGUUACAAUGGCAUAUACAUCAGGAAGCAAAACGGCAAAGUUAAGCAAAUCCAGAAAAGAUGCCUCAGUUCGGAUUGCACUCUGCAACUCGAGAGCAUGAAGCUGGAAUUACUAGUAAUCGUGGAUCAGCGAGCCACGGUGAAUGCGUUCCCGGGUAAAGUACACACCGCCCGUCACACCAUGGGAGUUGGUUAUACCAUAAGGCAAGGUUUUAAACCCUCAGACCACGGUAUAGUCAGCGACAGGGGUAAGUCCGAACAAGGUAACCGAA
rnacentral:rRNA from 1 species